rnacentral:rRNA from 2 species
ACUUGUACAGGAUAGGUAGGAGCCGUAGAAACCGGGACGCUAGUUUCGGUGGAGGCAUUGGUGGGAUACUACCCUUGUAUUAUGACCACUCUAACCCGCACCACUGAUCGUGGUGGGAGACAGUGUCAGGUGGGCAGUUUGACUGGGGCGGUCGCCUCCCAAAAGGUAACGGAGGCGCCCAAAGGUUCGCUCAGAAUGGUUGGAAAUCAUUCGCAGAGUGUAAAGGCACAAGCGAGCUUGACUGCGAGACAGACAGGUCGAGCAGGGACGAAAGUCGGGCUUAGUGAUCCGGUGGUUCCGCAUGGAAGGGCCAUCGCUCAACGGAUAAAAGCUACCCUGGGGAUAACAGGCUUAUCUCCCCCAAGAGUCCACAUCGACGGGGAGGUUUGGCACCUCGAUGUCGGCUCAUCGCAUCCUGGGGCUGUAGUCGGUCCCAAGGGUUGGGCUGUUCGCCCAUUAAAGCGGUACGCGAGCUGGGUUCAGAACGUCGUGAGACAGUUCGGUCCCUAUCCGUCGCGGGCGUAGGAAAUUUGAGAGGACCUGUCCUUAGUACGAGAGGACCGGGAUGGACAUACCGCUGGUGUACCAGUUGUUCCGCCAGGAGCAUCGCUGGGUAGCUAUGUAUGGAUGAGAUAAACGCUGAAAGCAUCUAAGUGUGAAACUCGCCUCAAGAUGAGAUUUCCCAUUCCUUUGGAAGUAAGACCCCACAGAGAUGAUGUGGUAGAUAGGAUGGAAGUGGAAGUGCGGUGACGCAUGGAGCGGACCAUUACUAAUCGGUCGAGGACUUAACCAAG